rnacentral:rRNA from 1 species
UACGUAGGGUGCGAGCGUUAAUCGGAAUUACUGGGCGUAAAGCGUGCGCAGGCGGUUCGGUGUGUCCGAUGUGAAAGCCCCGGGCUUAACCUGGGAAUGGCAUUGGAAACUGGCGAGCUUGAGUGCGGCAGAGGGGGGUGGAAUUCCGCGUGUAGCAGUGAAAUGUGUAGAGAUCGGGAGGAACACCGGUGGCGAAGGCGGGUCUCUGGGCAUUUCCUGACGCUGAGGCGCGAAAGCGUGGGGAGCAAACGGG